rnacentral:rRNA from 1 species
GAUGAACGCUGGCGGCGUGCCUAAUACAUGCAAGUCGAGCGAACGGACGAGAAGCUUGCUUCUCUGAUGUUAGCGGCGGACGGGUGAGUAACACGUGGAUAACCUACCUAUAAGACUGGGAUAACUUCGGGAAACCGUAGCUAAUACCGGAUAAUAUUUUGAACCGCAUGGUUCAAAAGUGAAAGACGGUCUUGCUGUCACUUAUAGAUGGAUCCGCGCUGCAUUAGCUAGUUGGUAAGGUAACGGCUUACCAAGGCAACGAUGCAUAGCCGACCUGAGAGGGUGAUCGGCCACCCUGGAACUGAGACACGGUCCAGACUCCUACGGGAGGCAGCAGUGGGGAAUCUUCCGCAAUGGGCGAAAGCCUGACGGAGCAACGCCGCGUGAGUGAUGAAGGUCUUCGGAUCGUAAAACUCUGUUAUUAGGGAAGAACAUAUGUGUAAGUAACUGUGCACAUCUUGACGGUACCUAAUCAGAAAGCCACGGCUAACUACG